CUCAACAAGAGAGGGCUAAUGAAGUCGCGUGUUUGAAACGAGGAUUCCUGAAAUUCUUCAGACAUUGUUCAACACAAUCGAGACCAUACCAGCGUUGUUCAACCCCCUUUGAUGGUUUUGUACACACAAGGAAGGCUUUGCAGGCAUCCAGUCGGACGGCGAUAAUCCACCUGCAUCUGUUUGGCUUCGAGUGAUAAAGAGGAAGUGGUCUGAACCAAGGGGGACGGGACCGUUCACCGUGACUGCGCGGACUUCACACGCCAACCAACUUGAAGGAAAAGGGACUACCUGGUUCCACAGCCCCGGAUGGAAAAGUAACGAAAGCCCUACAUGGGUUAAAAACUUUGGCUGCUGAAAUGGCAGAUUCAACAAGCGUUUUCAACCACCUGGAAGAUUGGGCUACGGCAUGGUUAGGAAAAUGGAAACACCUUAUUGUCUUGGAAGUGGUGGAAAAGAAUAUGAACCAGCCGGAAUCACAGAUGUUGAUGACCUCCGAAGAAGCUCCUACUCCUGAAGUUCUGCUCACACAAGACGACGUCGUGUCCAGAUGGAUGUAUUAUUGAUUAAAAAUAUACAGUGUCCUUUCUCUUAGAAUGUUACGGGACUUGUCUUUUUCCCUCCUCAAAUCAAUAUAUGGGGAUGUUUUUGGCCUGUCUCAAGAGUAGUACUGCCUUAUGAAGAAUAAUUAGCUCAUGAUUACGUUGUUUAUAUAUCCUCUGAUAGCCUUCCACAAAGAGUAGUACUGCUUAGGGUCUGUUACAUAGUUCCACUAUGUAAACAGGGGGAUUGUUGGAUUGUUAUAUUUCAUACUCAUGACGCUAUGUUCCAUUAUCUGACAAUUAAGUUCCGUUUCCAAAACACGAGGGUGAUACAUGAUUAAGUUUUGUUAUCCAUGAAAUUAUGUAGGAGUUUAGAUUAUUGAGGAAUGGUGGUUUUAAUACGACUCUCCCAUUUUGUGUUAACACCCAAUGCCAGAGAUAACUUCUGCCAAAAAGUCAUAACAAAACCUUCUGCUGAAGAAUCAUAACGAAACCUUCUGAUGUGUAUAAAAGUAGUCAGCUCAAUA